UUCCCAGGCCAGGGGUCGAAUUGGAGCUACAGCUGCUGGCCUACACCACAGGCAUGCGACAAGGGAUCCGAGCCACGUCUGCAAUCUACACCACAGGUCAUGGCAAUGCUGGAUCCCCAACCCAUUGAGUGAGGCCACAGAUUGAACUCUCGUCCUCAUGGAUACUAGUCAGAUUCAUUUCGAAGGGUGAGAACUCAGGCCGGGAUGCUAAAGCACAGGAGCCUUUGGCAUCCUCAGCGAACCAAGUUUGGUGGAGAAAAUUAAAUGAGAUCGCAGGGGCGAUAUUAAAGGAGCAAAUUGCUUUAAAGGGCUUCCGCUCACGGCAGAUUUCACUGCAGAUGGAUGGCGCUAAUUACCACAACGUAAGGCAGGUCCCUGGGGGCCCCUGUUUCUAAGUGGGGACUUUGGAAGUGAGAACCCUGAGCUCCUUUUGUCUUCGGUCCAUCGUCCCUUCCCCCAUACUGAGGGGCACCUGGUGAACCUGGCAGUCUGUGCUGUCUGGGAAACACCCGUUACCGUCUCCUGCGCCCUUGGCACAUCUUCUGGGCCUGAAGGACUAACUGAGGAUAAUUAUUGCUCCACAUUCACAGAGCCACACAAACACAUGUGUCAAGGAGGGGAUGUCUUCUCACUGCAAAUUUCACUCCUGAGAUGCCCGCCCCCACGUGCCCCCGCCGGGGAGCUCAACCAAGCAGCAGGUGUGGAGAUGUUCCCUGCAGUGUUAUUUACCAUCGUAAAAUAUCCAACGGAGGACGAGCAACAGGUUAACUAAAUUAAAGUAUGUCCCCAGCGUGGAUGAUUCUCAGGUAUUAACAGUGCUACAUACGAAGUCUACGUGAUCACAUGAGAAAGGUCCAGGGAACCACGUUAAGUAAAGAGCCCAGAGCGUGAAGGGAGGCAUUAACUUAGAUUCCACCCUGAAAUAAGCCUGGGCCUGAGCCUGAAACACACUAAUAGGCAAGGAGUAGUUGGGUCUGGGUGGUGGGAUCAGGGCUGAUUAUUUUUCAGACCUUUGUUUCCCAUUGUUAUUUGGGGCAAUAAACAAUGGUAUUUGGCCUCUAUAAACAAAUGCUUCUCAGACCCAUGCAUACUGGGGAGAGGGCCAGAGCCUGGGGUUCUUUCAAAGGGCCCCAGAGAUUCUAGCAAGUGACCUGCAGGCCGCAGUUCUAGAAGCAGAGAGAACUGUCUAGGCUCAUCAAAUGCUUAAUAGCCUUGGGGGGCGGGUGGUGGGAGCUUGUGGAGGCUGGUGGCUAUCCACCCUGCUCGGUGCACCUGUCGCCCCAGGAAGGCCUCUCUGGGGAUGCCCCAUUGUUCUCUGACCAGGAAGAAGGUGGGGGGCAAGGAGAAUGGCUGGUUCCAAAGCCAGGAAAUAAAUCUGCUCCCACAACCCAGCCUCUCCAUUCAGGCUGCUUUAUCGAUGGGGACCCAGGGGGCCUGGGGAG
rnacentral:lncRNA from 1 species